UUUCUUCAUUUCACCAAACAAACCCACAGACUUAAGAGCUAUUCAAAUAAGGCACAGCUUAUUUGAAACAAGAAACAACUUCCACCAUCGGGUAAACAAGAGCAACAAAAACAAAGUGGGCCUAAAAGCAGCCACCUUCAAAAAAGCGUCAAAGCUUAACUAAUCUCGCUCAUAAUUCCUAAUAUUUUUCUUAACCCAUCAUCUGUACUGAACCAUUUUAUAUCUAUAUAAAAGCUAUUAUGCUAGAACUAGUAACAAGAAAUUGCCCUUCUCCACAAUGUACCCAUAAACCAAAACGGACCAUCCCUUGGUAAUUAACGCAAAUGUAAAAAUCAUAACAACACACGACUAGAAAACCUUAUGACCCCCAACGUUAACCUUACACUAGGACAUUACAGGAAAGAUUAAAAGAAAGAGAAGGAACUCGGCAAAAUUUAGCCCCGCCUGUUUACCAAAAACAUCGCCUCUUGACCAAACAUAAGAGGUCCAGCCUGCCCAGUGACAAAAUUCAACGGCCGCGGUACACUAACCGUGCGAAGGUAGCAUAAUCACUUGUUCUUUAAAUAAGGACUAGUAUCAACGGCAUCACGAGGGCUAUACUGUCUCCUCUCUCCAAUCAGUGAAACUGAUCUCCCCGUGAAGAAACGGGGAUAUAACCAUAAGACGAGAAGACCCCAUGGAGCUUUAAACCCAACAUACACCCCCUUACCCACACACCAAAUCAACCCGGGAACCUGUCUGUUGGUUUUAGGCUGGGGGGGCCACGGAGUUAAAUUAAACCUCCAUGACAAACGGACUAACACCCUUAUCCAUGAACUACAAUUCUAAGAAUUACCAAACUAAUGUUUAAUGACCCGAUAAUUCGAUCAACGAACCAAGUUACCCUGGGGAUAACAGCGCAAUCUACUUCAAGAGCCCUUAUCGACAAGUAGGUUUACGACCUCGAUGUUGGAUCAGGGAAUCCUAGUGGUGCA
rnacentral:rRNA from 1 species